UACGGAGGGUGCAAGCGUUAUCCGGAUUCACUGGGUUUAAAGGGUGCGUAGGAGGGCAGGUAAGUCAGUGGUGAAAUCCUAGAGCUUAACUCUAGAACUGCCGUUGAUACUAUCUGUCUUGAAUAUUGUGGAGGUGAGCGGAAUAUGUCAUGUAGCGGUGAAAUGCUUAGAUAUGACAUAGAACACCGAUUGCGAAGGCAGCUAACUACAGGGAUAUUGACACUGAGGCACGAAAGCGUGGGGAUCAAACAGG
rnacentral:rRNA from 1 species